rnacentral:rRNA from 1 species
CAUGCAAGUCGAACGGAUUGGCGCCUAGCAGAAGCCUGCUGGAAGCGGGGACCACGGGAAACCGUGAGAACCGCCGAUGGCAGGUGGACGCUAUUAGCCGGUCAGUGGCGAACGGGUGAGUAACACGUGGGCGACCUGCCCUAAAGUGGGGGAUAACCAUCCGAAAGGUUGGCUAAUACCGCAUGUGGUUCAACAUUCAUUUGCUGAACUAAAGGAGAAAUCCGCUUUUGGAGGGGCCCGCGGCCCAUCAGCUAGUUGGUAGGGUAAUGGCCUACCAAGGCGGUGACGGGUAGCUGGUCUGAGAGGACGAUCAGCCACAUUGGCACUGAGACACGGGCCAAACUCCUACGGGAGGCAGCAGUGAGGAAUAUUGAGCAAUGGGCGAAAGCCAGACUCAGCAACGCCGCGUGGACGAUGAAGGCCUUCGGGUCGUAAAGUUCUUUUCAGGGGGACGAGAGAGGACG